rnacentral:snRNA from 1 species
GUGCCUUAAACUUAUGAGUAAGGAAAAUACCGAGUCCUGGUGAUGCUUGACUCUUUAAAUAUAAUUUAUUCACCUAAUUUUUGAAAGGGUAAAGGUCGUCCCUAGAGGGAAGUUCGCCUACUUUAGCGAACUUCCUGGGUGACAGCGAUCUGCCCU